AUUAGGUUACCAAUAUAAUAACUAAAGCUUUGGAAUUCAGCACUGAUUCUAAAUUUUUAGUGUAGGUUUAUAUUGUGAAUGUAAAUUAUGUAGUUUGCUUCCUCUAAGUGGAUUGGAGCCUUGCCUUUAUGAUAAUUUGGAUGAUUCACUAUGAGUUUCAGGCUAUCGCUUAUGUAAUGUGCUCACUUCUGUUUAUUUAUAUUUGCUUUAAGUUGGUGGAUUGGUUUAUAGAAAGUCAGUUGAUUUGAAAGCAAAUUUAAUGACAGAAUUUUACUUUUAUGUCCUUUCAUCAAUAAUCUUCCUUUCCUUGUAUUUGCUCUCAAUCCAAACAUACUAAAUCCAAAAUCGAAUUCCUUGAAAACAGCAAGAAUCAUCCUGUGUUGAAAUGUUGCUUUCUCGAUUGAUUUUGGGAAGACACUCGCAACUAUUUCCUUGACAGAUCUCCAUCAAUGGAAUGAGAGCCAAGAAUCUGUCUCACAGUGAAAAUUAGUGGGGGACAUGGAACCUGAUGGCUCUUUUCAGGUAAGUUAAUUUUAGCUUUAAAUACCUUUUGUCUUUGUACAAUGUGCUGAGGACUCAAUGAACAGAAGGUUUAUUUUUAUUUUAACAAUAGCAUGCCCUUUUGAAUUCUUUGGAACAGAUAAUCCAUUGAGUACUUAAAUCCCUCCUUUUUUGUGUUCUAUAUCUAAGUACCUUGUACAGGGAGAUACAAAGAAUCUGUGCAUCACCCAAUUUAUUUCUUUCUCCUUUUGCCAAAAUUUAGUUUACCAAUGCUGAUUCUCAUUAUGCCGAUGAUGGAAACACAUUAAUUGUAUAUUUAUAUCACAAGAGUCUAUGUAUUUAGUCGAUAUCGAAUUGAAGCAACUAUUUAUUUAAUUUAUGGUAUAGACUUAUUAUAAAUGUAUGAAUUUGCUUUCAAUGAGUGUAGGAAUUCAUCAUCCUUAAAGAUGAAACACCUCUUUAUCACCCAUGGAGUCUCUUCCUUGCGUUGCUCCUCACGAUGAGUACUUUGUUCAAUGGCUGCUCUAUGUUCUUGGAAUUUAUGUUUCUUAUUAUAAACUGGCAUGAAUAUCGUUUUUUGAGGGCAGGCACCAGUUUUGGUACAUGGUGGUUGUACAAAGAGUGUGUGCUAUCAAAAAUUUAUGCCAGACAACAUGCGAAACUGCAUUCCCCAAUUGUCGUCCUGUAAUAGGCAAUUGUAUUGUUGCCAUUACUGGGGCAGCCUGCUCCUGCUCAUUCAACUGCUGAGUGGCAUGAAUAGUAGUAUAAUUAUCUUUCACUGUAAAAAGACCUUGUUGAGUUCUCUUGAUUCUUUGAAAUCCUAUACAAUUAUGUUUUGAAUUGCCAGCAUGUCGGCGAAAUAAGAAUGCUCACAGUUUUUAUCACUGGUGAUGAUGAUCAUCUUGCUUAUAAUUGUUUUGUUCUUAAGCUUUAGUGAGCGUGCUCUUAUACUGCUUAUUAUCAGAUUAUUGCCACUUUGAUGAUGCUCCAAAAGCAUAUAGUGAUUAAAAAAAAACUCAGAUCAAGUUAUCCUGCCAUUGGCUUCUCUAUUGUCAAUUUAACUGAGACCCCCUGUAGUUAAUGGGUUGAAGAUAGCAUGUAUUCGGAUAUCCAAUGACUUGCUUGAUUUCAUUGUAACUGGUUGAUAAAAUCUGGAAAGAGAUCCUGUCAAUAAGAAAAGUGUUAGCGGAUACCAUGUGAGGAAAUCAAAGGAGAAUAUUAAAUAUUACCUUGUAUAAUUCGUUGUAUUUGACAAUGUUCUAAUUUAUUUAUUUAUUUAUUUUUUUAUGGACAUUACUGACGAUUGACAAGAGAUUCAUCUCACAGGAGAUUUUUAUGAACUCGGUCUAUCUAGACCGAGCACAUAGUGAGUGGCUUUAAUUUUGAUAAUUCUCUGUAAUAUUGUCCAAAAUUUUCUUUGAAAUGCAUCAGUAUCACUCUACAAAUCCUCUGUGUAUCUUGAUUUUUUGAAGUAUGGAUUGUAACAGACCAAAUGAAGGUCUCGGGCAUCAUCGUUGGAGUCAUCUUUUGUUGUCUUGCUUUUAUCUGCACGUGCAGAGUAACAGGCUUGAAAUGUGAGGCAGCCGAUGUGAAUGAAUGUGUUAGAAUGUGUUAGAAUGUUAGGCUGCAAACAAAAUUUAUGCCAGACACAAUGCAAGCCUUCCAAAUGCCCUGUUCAGUUUCGGCCUCGUGCAUAGACGUUGGCCAUUGUAAGUGAACUCUCAAUUGCUAAUAACUAUGCCCGUUGCUCACUGUAUGUUUAAUAAAAGGUAUCUGUAAUCUUCUGUUGUUUCUUCA